rnacentral:lncRNA from 1 species
AUUUCCAGUGAGCAAGAACUAAAGAAUAUGUUCCCUAGCUGACGGGAGGGAAGAAAAACGGAAAAAAGAGAAAAAAAAAAACACCUUUACUUAAGUCACUUAGUUUUCAAAGACAGUGUCCCACCUGGAAAGGAAAAAUGCCCUAAAACCACCACUUGAUGUCACUGCUGUAGCUCCUCUUCUGAUCCAGAGGAGAAAAGAAGCUGGCUCCUUCCUAAGUCAGUCACCAGAAAAGAAAAAGAGAGAGAAAGUCACAUUUUUUUUCAUGAACAUCUUUUAAAAGGUAAUGACGUUUCUGUUCUGUGGGGUUAUUUCACCGUGUUUCCUUUGCUUGUUCUACAGAGAGAAGGCAUUGCACCACCGAGCAGACACUGGGACAAAAGCAAAUAUUGCAUGCCCAUUUCUGCAGUUCUUAAAUGUAGCUAUGCAUCAAAAUCAUUUGGGGACCUUUCUAAAACUACUGAUCACUGGACUCCACCUUAGAACUGCACAGAAUAUCUGAGGUGGGGUUCGGGCAAUUACAUUUUUAUAAGGUUAUCAGAGUGAUUCCGAAUGUUACUAAGAUUUAGAAAUCUGUUCUAUUUGCCUCACGACUUUCAUAAUUUAUAAUAUCAGGGAAUAUAAACUGAUCUGAUGUUCUAUAGAAUUCAACAAUUUGUACUUUCCCCACAUGUCAUUGACAAGUGAAUUUUUGGAUGUGCUCUAUCGACUUUCUCUCUUCUUCUUUCCUUCACAUCACCUCUUCACUUUUUGUUAAAUAUUUUACAGUACAUAGGUUUCCUCAAUAACAGUAUUUAUAUAUUUUGCCUUAUUUAUAUGUGUCCCUUCUAACAGAAGGAAAACUGAGCCUGUCCUACUCUUCUCUCCUAUUUGACCCACCUUUCUCUAACAGGCACUGGGUUAGUUCUAGCAUUAUUCCUAAUAAUAAAAUAAACUCCCAUUUCUGGUCAAUUAUAGCUUGUUGAGUCUCAUCAUUCCUGGUUACCAGGGAAGAGAGAACAAUGGCAAGUCACAGAACUGUGAGCAAACCGUUCUUCCAUAAUCCAAUAAAUUUAGGGCAUUUCUUAAAAGUUUGUUGAAUGAGGGACAGAACAACCUUGCACAAAGAACCCAGUUGGUGACCCCCACCUUUGGUAGAUGAACUGAGGAUGUGGACAUAUUUUAGGUUGAUAAAUCUUGCGUUCUUCCAACAAUACUCGGUAUGUUUCCGCUCUUCUGUAGGAAAACGUCAACCAUCUCAAGUUUCUUUGCUUGCUUUUAGACUUCAAAGGAGAUUUGUGACUAAAAACAGACUCACCCAACCAAUCAUUUAUGUAAGAAAGACUGAUUUUAUUUUAGCAUACUGCCUAAUUCUGCCUGACACAACAACUGGGAAAAAUAUCAAAGCAAAAAUUGCAUUGCUAAGUCUGAUAAUAGCCAAAAUAAUGAUUACAUUAGCACCAGAUACUCGAAACACUGCCAACAGAAAGAAAACGGAUAUCGUUCAUUCUGCUUACUUGACUAAAACUGAAAAAGAAAUUCUGAAUCCCUGCUGGAGUGUCAGGCCCUGUUAUCUGGUGAUCAUCCAGAAGUGAUUUUUUUUUAAAGUCACAUAACAUAAAAUUAACAAUUUUAAGUAAACAAUUCAAAGCAUUAAUUAUAUUCAUAAUAUUGUACUACUUUCGAAAUAUUUGCAUUACCCCAAAAGGAAACCCUAUGCUCAUUGAAUAGUUAUUUCCCCCUUCCUCUUUUCUUACAGUCCCUUACAAAUACCAACCUACUUUCUGUCUCUAUGGAUUUACAUAUUCUGGAUAUUUCAUAUAAAUGAAAUCAAACAAUAUGUGACCUUCUAUGGCUUAUUUCACUUAGCAUAUUUUCAAGGUAAGGUCCAUACAUGUUAUAGCAUAUAUCAGUAUCAUUCCUUUUAUGGCUGAAUAAUAUUCUCGUGUGUGUGUGUGUGUGUGUGUGUGUAUCACAAUUUGUUUAUCCAUUCAUCUGCUAAUGGACAUCUGAAUUAUUUCCACCUUUUGACUAUUGUGAAUAGUUCUGGUAUGUGCAUGUGUGUACAUGUAUUUGCUUAAAUACCAGUUUUCAAUUCCUUUCAGAAUAUACCUACUAUGGUCUGAGUAUUUGCAUCUCCCCAAACUUUAUAUGUUGAAGCCUAAUCCCCGGGUAAUAGACAAGAAGCAGUUGGAAAGGAAGUAGCAGAUUUACAGUCUUUUCAGGUAAUUGUGGGUAUUUUCUUUGAUGUCAUAUGAAAGUUCGACAAAUGGCAGAAUCUUAAAGGUUCAUUGUGAUGGGAAAUCUAAAAUUAAAUUAAUUUUUCUUAUUCAGUUACCUUAAAAUCCAUUUGUCUACUUUGCACUUUGAACUGUCUUUCAACCUUGCAUGACUGUAACUUUACAAAUAUUGGUUCCCUCAAAAUUAAUCAAAUUUUAUUAUUGUGUGCAUAUAUAAACAUGUAACAAUAAAUUCC